rnacentral:rRNA from 1 species
GACGAACGCUGGCGGCGUGCUUAACACAUGCAAGUCGAACGGUAAGGCCCUUCGGGGUACACGAGUGGCGAACGGGUGAGUAACACGUGGGUGAUCUGCCCUGCACUUCGGGAUAAGCCUGGGAAACUGGGUCUAAUACCGGAUAGGACUCCGGACUGCAUGGUCUGGGGUGGAAAGCUUUUGCGGUGUGGGAUGGGCCCGCGGCCUAUCAGCUUGUUGGUGGGGUGAUGGCCUACCAAGGCGACGACGGGUAGCCGGCCUGAGAGGGUGACCGGCCAAACUGGGACUGAGAUACGGCCAAGACUCCUACGGGAGGCAGCAGUGGGGAAUAUUGAACAAUGGGCGCAAGCCUGAUGCAGCGACGCCGCGUGAGGGAUGACGGCCUUCGGGUUGUAAACCUCUUUCAGCAUCGACGAAGCGAAAGUGACGGUAGGUGCAGAAGAAGGACCGGCCAACUACGUGCCAGCAGCCGCCGUAA